rnacentral:rRNA from 1 species
GACGAACGCUGGCGGCGUGCUUAACACAUGCAAGUCGAACGGAAGGGCCCUGCUUUUGUGGGGUGCUCGAGUGGCGAACGGGUGAGUAACACGUGAGUAACCUGCCCUUGACUUUGGGAUAACUUCAGGAAACUGGGGCUAAUACCGGAUAGGAGCUCCUGCUGCAUGGUGGGGGUUGGAAAGUUUCGGCGGUUGGGGAUGGACUCGCGGCUUAUCAGCUUGUUGGUGGGGUAGUGGCUUACCAAGGCUUUGACGGGUAGCCGGCCCGAGAGGGUGACCGGCCACAUUGGGACUGAGAUACGGCCCAGACUCCUACGGGAGGCAGCAGUGGGGAAUAUUGCACAAUGGGCGGAAGCCUGAUGCAGCAACGCCGCGUGCGGGAUGACGGCCUUCGGGUUGUAAACCGCUUUCGCCUGUGACGAAGCGUGAGUGACGGUAAUGGGUAAAGAAGCACCGGCUAACUACGUG